UGGGGAAUAUUGGACAAUGGGCGAAAGCCUGAUCCAGCCAUGCCGCGUGUGUGAAGAAGGUCUUCGGAUUGUAAAGCACUUUAAGUUGGGAGGAAGGGCAUUAACCUAAUACGUUAGUGUUUUGACGUUACCGACAGAAUAAGCACCGGCUAACUCUGUGCCAGCAGCCGCGGUAAUCCAGAGGGUGCAAGCGUUAAUCGGAAUUACUGGGCGUAAAGCGCGCGUAGGUGGUUUGUUAAGUUGGAUGUGAAAUCCCCGGGCUCAACCUGGGAACUGCAUUCAAAACUGACUGACUAGAGUAUGGUAGAGGGUGGUGGAAUUUCCUGUGUAGCGGUGAAAUGCGUAGAUAUAGGAAGGAACACCAGUGGCGAAGGCGACCACCUGGACUAAUACUGACACUGAGGUGCGAAAGCGUGGGGAGCAAACA
rnacentral:rRNA from 1 species